GCAUUCUAUUAGGUUGGUGCAAAAGUAAUUGCGGUUUUUGCCAUUACUUUCAAUAGCAAAAACUGCAAUUACUUUUGCACCAACCUAAUACU
ensembl:miRNA